rnacentral:lncRNA from 1 species
UGAUCAUUUUUUGUGUGGAAAUUAAUAUUUUAUUGACAUGAAUUAAGAUGGAUGAUGAUGGACGAACAAUUAAAUUAGACAUUUAAUGUCUCAGACAAUUACUCAGGACGAUGUUGUUUACAAGCUGAUUAGGUAAGUUUGUCGCACGGGUACACAUCAAUCAUCAGUCAAUGUUCUUCUUUCGGACUUGCUAUAUAAAGAAGUCACAAUUAUCAUUUGAACAUUCAGCGUUCACCUACCAUUGAAAGUAUAUCUAGACUCAAGGUAAGUUUUCUUCUUGUAUAUCUAUAACAUUGUCAAAGGCAAAUUUCUCCGUAGUAAAAUUACUUUUUGUUAAGGUAAAGCUUUAUCAAUAAUUUAAUUGGAAUUUUCAAAGCACGAAAAAAAAAAAAACGACAAUUCUUUUUAGAAAAUUGCGAUGUAAGAAUAAUGUACAGUAAAUUUAGCUCUAUGUGAAGUUUCUGAUUGUCUUAGCAACAGUUACACUAUUUAUUAUUUAUCUAUUAAUUCUUUAUUAUCUAAUUUUCUUUCUGUUCCAUUUCUUGAGGUUUAAAGCUUCUAGCUGAAUGUAAUUGAAGCAAUCCGUAUUAAAACUAAAAAACUCAUUAUGUAUAUUUUUAAUUAAUAGAAGCAUUAAUGACUACAUAUUCAAUAAGGAUUUGAUUUGAUUUGAUUAUUCGAUUCGAUUCGAUUCGAUUCUUCUGUUCUGUUCUGUUCUAAAUAAAAUGUAAAUGUCAAAAAUAUUUAGGUGGAAUCUGAUUGACAUUUCAUAAGGCUGAGUUCAUAAAAACGUUUUCAUCACUUUAGUUCCAAAAUUAAAAUUGCCUUUCUUUACACGGAUACUUUAGUACAAGCAACCUUAAUAUGCAUAAGUUAAUGUGAGACCACACUCAAUUUUAGUGGCUAAAUUUUCCUGUUUUUAUUUUUUUCAGUAGUUAAUUUUUCACAAUGAUCAAAGGAUUCGUUCUCCUCGCACUUUUGGUGGCUGUUGCCAACUGCACCUACUACAAGGGUGGUUACGGUAAAGGAUACGGAGGUGGAUUCGGAGGUUAUGGUGGUGGAUACGGAGGUAGAUAUGGAGGCAUUGGUGGAUACGGAUACGAGUGGAUACGGAGGUGGAUACGGAGGUUAUGGAGGUGACGGAGGUUACGGAGGUGGAUACGGACUAGGUGGUUACGGAGGCGGAUACGGAGGUGGACGGAGGUGGAUUCGGUGUUACGGAGGCGGAUACGGAGGUGG